GAGCCUGUGGCGUAGUGGUAAUGCAACGGACUCGAAUAUUUGUCCAAUCACUGAGACGUGGAACAUCGAGAUCGGUAGAUCGCAGAUUUGAUUUCUGUCGGGCUCA